ACGAACGCUGGCGGCGUGCCUAAUACCUGCAAGUAGAACGCUGAAGAGAGGAGCUUGCUCUUCUUGGAUGAGUUGCGAACGGGUGAGUAACGCGUAGGUAACCUGCCUUGUAGCGGGGGAUAACUAUUGGAAACGAUAGCUAAUACCGCAUAACAAUGGAUGACACAUGUCAUUUAUUUGAAAGGGGCAAUUGCUCCACUACAAGAUGGACCUGCGUUGUAUUAGCUAGUAGGUGAGGUAAUGGCUCACCUAGGCGACGAUACAUAGCCGACCUGAGAGGGUGAUCGGCCACACUGGGACUGAGACACGGCCCAGACUCCUACGGGAGGCAGCAGUAGGGAAUCUUCGGCAAUGGGGGCAACCCUGACCGAGCAACGCCGCGUGAGUGAAGAAGGUUUUCGGAUCGUAAAGCUCUGUUGUAAGUCAAGAACGGGUGUGAGAGUGGAAAGUUCACACUGUGACGGUAGCUUACCAGAAAGGGACGGCUAACUACGUG
rnacentral:rRNA from 1 species